CCCACUUGCAGAUCAGGUUUCUGUCCUCUGAAUGCCUCCAGGGUGGCAGAACCUGCCUAACACUGCACAUCAAGGAUCACCCCAAAAUACAGGGAUAUUCACACCAGUUUUACCUUCCCCUCUAGGCUUUCCUUGCUAAGUCACAGAAAACAGCCCUCACAAACCACACUCAUCCUAUAUUUAUUCUCAGUGCAUUUCCAGGGCUGUUGGUCCUCGGUGGUUUCCACUCGCUUGAUGUAACAGGAGCUCACCACAGAGACACCAGAAAAUGAAUCAUCGGGGUCACCAGGACAAUGAGGAGCUGCUCUCACCACCCGUCCUUGAUGACCAUGCUGACCUACGAGUCCCUGGAAAUGCUGCCCAGAGGGAACUGCAGAGUUGAGCCGUGGCCUCCAAUGCCAAGGCCCACCUGGUGUGAGCUGGGCUGGUCAGUGGACUCUUGAGGGGUGAUGGGAGCUUCCCAAACCCCCAACCGGACUCCCAUCUUCAGAUGCAAUCACUCCCCUCCUACACAUAUGGGGCCGAAUUCAGAGACACUGGGGUCACCUGCAAGGCCAAGAACAAGGCUUCUGCCUCCUAGACAGCAGGUGCUGAGGGCACAGCUAGGGGGACUGCGAGUGCUACCUGCAUCUGCUCAUGCAUCCCCUCCUGGUCACCUGCCAGGCAGUUGUCUAUGCAGACUGCCCGAGGCCUCUGUGAUGGCUCCCGUGGGGAGGAGCAAGCCCAGCACUCCUGACACGGACAGCUGCCGGAACGGAAUAGAGGCCCAUCGGGUGUCCAGAGAUCUGCUCCCUUGCAAGCAGGAAUGAACAGGCAUCGCUCUGUGAUCCAAAUGCCUCCUAACCCGGGGGGA
rnacentral:lncRNA from 1 species